AUUCAUUUCCAAUAGCUCCACUGGUAUUCUUUGGAUGUAUCAGAUGCAACAUGUAUUAUGAUUUCAGGGCAAUUGUCAAAAAGAAGAUGUCAUUGAUGCACUCCACAAAGAGAGUGUGUUUCAACAGUUGGGAGAUGGAGGUGCGGGACAAGCUUCUUGAAGAGUCUGUUGUCACUGGUGAAGGAAGCUCAAGUAGGAGAGACGAAUCUGUCAGGCAAAAGAGAGCUGAUCCCUGAAAAUACUCUGCAGGGCGAUUAUCAGCCCCAAGCACGUCUCAGCCUAGUUCUGAUCCCCGAAAAUACUCUGCAGGGCGAUCAUCAGCCCCUAGCACGUCUCAGCCAAGUUCUG